rnacentral:sRNA from 1 species
UGAUUGAAGUGUACUGAAGACGCGUCCGU